rnacentral:rRNA from 1 species
GAUGAACGCUGGCGGCGUGCCUAAUACAUGCAAGUCGAGCGAACUGAUUAGAAGCUUGCUUCUAUGACGUUAGCGGCGGACGGGUGAGUAACACGUGGGCAACCUGCCUGUAAGACUGGGAUAACUUCGGGAAACCGAAGCUAAUACCGGAUAGGAUCUUCUCCUUCAUGGGAGAUGAUUGAAAGAUGGUUUCGGCUAUCACUUACAGAUGGGCCCGCGGUGCAUUAGCUAGUUGGUGAGGUAACGGCUCACCAAGGCAACGAUGCAUAGCCGACCUGGGAGGGUGAUCGGCCAAACUGGGACUGAGACACGGCACAGACACCUUCGGGAGGCAGCAGUAGGGAAUCUUCCGCAAUGGACGAGAGUCUGACGGAGCAACGCCGCGUGAGUGAUGAAGGCUUUCGGGUCGUAAAACUCUGUUGUUAGGGAAGAACAAGUACGAGAGUAACUGCUUGUACCUUGACGGUACCUAACCAGAAAGCCACGGCUAACUACGUGCCAGCCGCCGCCGUAA